rnacentral:rRNA from 1 species
CAACACGGGGAGGUAGUGACAAGAAAUAACAAUACGGGGUCUUUAUAGGUCUCGCAAUUGGAAUGAGUACAAUUUAAAUCCUUUAACGAGGACCCAUUGGAGGGCAAGUCUGGUGCCAGCAGCCGCGGUAAUUCCAGCUCCAAUAGCGUAUAUUAAAGUUGUUGCAGUUAAAAAGCUCGUAGUUGGAUUUCGGAAUGGGCCAGUUGGUCCGCCUCACGGUGUGUUACUGGCUGGUCUGUUCUUCUUCGCAAAGACUGCGUGUGCUCUUUACCGAGUGUGCGUAGGAUUUACGACGUUUACUUUGAAAAAAUUAGAGUGUUCAAAGCAGGCCUACCGCUUGAAUACAUGAGCAUGGAAUAAUGGAAUAGGACUUUGGUCUUAUUUUGUUGGUUUCUAAGACCGAAGUAAUGAUUAAGAGGGACAGUUGGGGGCAUUCGUAUUUCGUUGUCAGAGGUGAAAUUCUUGGAUUUUCGGAAGAUGAACUUCUGCGAAAGCAUUCGCCAAGGAUGUUUUCAUUAAUCAAGAACGAAAGUUAGGGGAUCGAAGACGAUCAGAUACCGUCGUAGUCUUAACCAUAAACUAUGCCGACUCAGGAUCAGUGGAAGUUCGAUUUCGACUCCAUUGGCACUGUGUGAGAAAUCAAAGUUUUUGGGUUCCGGGGGGAGUAUGGUCGCAAGGCUGAAACUUAAAGGAAUUGACGGAAGGGCACACCAGAAGUGGAGCCUG